UAAACAUUUUUGAGUACUUGCAAAUUGGUUUAAAAAGAGUUUUGGUUUUAUGCCAGUUUUAGACAGGUUGCAGGUUUUAUACCAGUUCUAAAAAGAUUGCAGGUUUUAUAAAACAAACAUUUCUCUAAUCAUUUCUGCCGUAGCACUAAAUCUUUAUAUUACUAAUCCUCUCUAUUGAUUAUAGUUAAAAUGGUUUGGAACAAUAAAUAAUUUUGAAAUAA